AAAAUCUGCUCUUCUUCCUUAAUCUCCCAUUCCAAAGCACCCAAGACAAGAAUCUGAUUCCCCCGGAUGCUUCUCCACCCUUUAAGAUGAAAGAAUCAAAGCUUUCACCUCGUCAGCUACUCUUGGUUGGUGUACUCUUCAUCCCUUCUGCCACAGGCUUUCAGUUCAGACCCUCCCAUCUGGCCUCAGAACCCCUGCGCUAUCCUCUUAGCAAAUGUCCCCGGUUCUCCUCAUCUUGUCUCCCACCAACAGAAUCUGCGCCAGAGCACCGAACAGAGGGAUGCUUCCAAGAUGCAAAUCUGAUCAGGCUGCACCCCAGAGCCCUGGGAUGACUAGAUCCCGUUCUCUAAAAAAUACAAACCAAGUUUCUGAGCAUGACAGAAAGGCCUUCGUGGGCCGGCCAUCAACUUCCCCUUCCAGCACUCCGUGUCACACAUCGACACAAUGAGGUAGCUCACCGCAGCACUCCACAUGCUACUUUACAUGCUUUUCUUUGCCAUGUAGUUCCCUCUGCCUGGAACGUCCUUCUCGUCAACAAGCCACAGUUCAAAAACCCAUUCCUUCAGGAACCCUCCCCGGACUUUUUGCCACCCCUUCUGCUCCACUGGCUUCAGGAGGGGGGGGUCCUCCCUCUGUCUUUGCACAGUACACAGGCCUCCUCAGCAGCUACCUAUCACACCCUCUCACAUGUCUGCUUUAUUCUAUUACCCGUGGGGCUGCUGACAGCUCUAGGAAGCUGCCUUCUCCUUCACUCAGUGCCUGCUGCCCAAGAAAUGGUCUCGAAACUUUUUUCAUUAUGUGCAAUUUCUACUAGAUGCUAUUUGUAACAUUUUCUCCUAGAUUUUUUUUUCUUUUCUUUUUUUUUUUUUCCCACUGUACAGCAAGGGGGUUAGGUUAUCCUUACAUGUAUACAUUACAAUUACAGUUUUUCCCCCACCAUUUCUUCUGUUGCAACAUGAGUAUCUAGACAUAGUUCUCAAUGCUAUUCAGCGGGAUCUCCUUGUAAAUCUAUUCUAGGUUGUGUCUGAUAAGCCCAAGCUCCCGAUCCCUCCCAGUCCCUCCCCCUCCCAUCAGGCAGCCACAAGUCUCUUCUCCAAGUCCAUGAUUUUCUUUUCUGAGGAGAUGUUCAUUUGUGCUGGAUAUUAGAUUCCAGUUAUAAGUGAUAUCAUAUGGUAUUUGUCUUUGUCUUUCUGGCUCAUUUCACUCAGUAUGAGAUUCUCUAGUUCCAUCCAUGUUGCUGCAAAUGGCAUUAUGUCAUUCUUUUUUAUGGCUGAGUAGUAUUCCAUUGUGUAUAUAUACCACAUCUUCCGAAUCCAAUCAUCUGUCGAUGGACAUUUGGGUUGUUUCCAUGUCUUGGCUAUUGUGAAUAGUGCUGCUAGUUUUCAACACAACACUUAAUGUUUAAAAAAGCCACGUAAGCUAAGUAGUGGCAGCAUCUUGUUUUUGCAGAGAAGGAAAUGACAACUCAUAGAGAAUAGUAAGGGCUACAGAGCUACACAGUUGGAAAGUGAAUGGGUCAAUAUUACAAUAUAGGUUUUACAUGAAUCCAAUAGUGCUUCUCACAUAAGAGAACACAGAAAUUAAAUGGAAAGAAAAUGCCAAACAAGGAAGAAAAAAGAAAAUUUUCUAAGUUCUCCUCCAGACUCCCAGUUUUCUCUUUUCUCCCUAUUACUCAUCUGAAGACGUGGCUCAGGGUGAUGGGGUCAUGCUAAGAUCACGGCUAUUACUUAGAACACCAUGUUAAGGAAAGUGAAGGUUAGUGGUUCAAUAAACUUAAGGAUUAAUCCAUUUCAUCCCACUAGAUAUCCAUCUACUGAACUUCUAACCUCAUGAACCAUUUCACAAACACAUGGACCAGGACCAUGUGUGCAGAGGCUCAAUUUUAAUCCAAUACUACCACUACAACACAGCUUGAAGUACUAACCUUCUUGUGGUGCCUGAAUACUCUUGUAUAUGAAGAUAUUACGAAGAGGCUCAGGGCUCAGCUCUGCAAAGAGAAUACGCUCUGGAAUUCCUACCUAGAAAGAGCUAAGCAUGAGGGUUAGUUCAUGGCCUGUACCACAGGACUAGGGUUUCUCUCUUUCAGGACAUGGGUGAGGAAAAGCUGCCUCUUGCACCACAUCCCGCACACCCCGGCUUGGGGACAUUCUGGGGCACGCUGCAGGUACCAAGGACCAGAGGCUCAGCAUACAGGUCCCGGCAGCAAGUCGUGCCUGGUAGUGCGGCAUCAUAAAAAACACGCUUUGCCUACUGGGUGGAAGUAAUUCAGCCAAAAUAAAAAUUGCAUCGGCUGCUCAGCAAUGCUUGGAGUUCAGCACCCAGAGAACUAAAAGAGCUACAACUCAGGGACACUAGGCAGAAAGCCCAACAAUGGCAGCCUUGAAAAAGACAAGGAAGAAAAAAUGUAGCAGCAACUCCCUGGGCAUGUGACUUGAGACUCUUGGCAGGCUGCCCCACAAGACUGGACAGUCUGUGGGCAGAGAAUUCACAUCUUUCUCUCAGCUGCCAGAGGCUAAGAAGGGCCAGACCAGACGGAGGACUACCAACUCAUAUCUUCCAGCAAGCUAAUCAUCAAUGAGACUCUCCAGAGGACAACAGUGAAUGAAUAACCAUAACUCUCACCUGCUUUGCACAGUCAUGUGACUGAUCAACAUCACUCCAACCAGGCUCCAUGACUUCUACAACCUGAAACAGCUUGUAACAUAUUAAUUGGGUAUCAAAUAUGCAACCAAUGCAGGGUUUCUUCCCCAGUCGGCAUAGAGAGAAACAAAGCUCUGCUGCAAAAACAAAGGAACAGAGUUCAGCUUAACAAGUCAACCAACCUUAACAGGGCAUGAACUGAGACACUGGGCCAAGAGCAGGUAAUACAAAGGUGAAUAAGAGGUCUUGGAGGAAACUCCUGUGCACUGGAGCGGGAGGGGCAAAAAGAAUGUCAAUAUAAUAUGAUAACUGCUGGCACGAUAUGGAUACAACAGUAUAUGAAGAUCACCAGCCAGAGUUAAACGAACAAAA
rnacentral:lncRNA from 1 species